UGGGGAAUCUUGCGCAAUGGGCGAAAGCCUGACGCAGCAACGCCGCGUGAGGGAUGACGGCCUUCGGGUUGUAAACCUCUUUCGAGCAGGGACGAUUGUGACGGUACCUGCAGAAGAAGCUCCGGCCAACUACGUGCCAGCAGCCGCGGUAAUACGUAGGGAGCGAGCGUUGUCCGGAAUCAUUGGGCGUAAAGAGCUCGUAGGCGGCUCGGUAAGUCAGAUGUGAAACCUCCAGGCUCAACCUGGAGUCGCCAUCUGAUACUGCUGUGGCUAGAGUCCGGUAGGGGCCCACGGAACUCCUGGUGUAGCGGUGAAAUGCGCAGAUAUCAGGAAGAACACCGGUGGCGAAGGCGGUGGGCUGGGCCGGCACUGACGCUGAGGAGCGAAAGCGUGGGGAGCGAACAGGAUUAGAUACCCCCGUAGUCC
rnacentral:rRNA from 1 species